rnacentral:rRNA from 1 species
GACGAACGCUGGCGGCGUGCUUAACACAUGCAAGUCGAACGCUGAAGCUCAUCUUUUGUUGGGUGGAUGAGUGGCGAACGGGUGAGUCACACGUGAGUAACCUGCCUCCUUCUUUGGGAUAACGCCCGGAAACGGGUGCUAAUACUGGAUCUUCCCUGGUCUUCGCAUGGGGGUUGGUGGCAAGGGUUUUUCUGGUGGGGGAUGGGCUCGCGUCCUGUCAGCUUGUUGGUGGGGUGAUGGCCUACCAAGGCUUUGACGGGUAGCCGGCCGGAGAGGGGGACCGGGCACAUGGGGACUGAGAUAGGGCCCAGAAUCCUACGGGAGGCAGCAGGGGGGAAUAUUGCACAAUGGGCGCAAGCCUGAGGCAGCGACGCCGCGUGAGGGAUGGAGGGCGUCGGGUUGUGAACCUCGUUCGAUAAUGGUCAAGCCGCAACAAUGGUUGUGGUGAGGGUAGUGGGUAAAGAAGCGCCGGCUAACUACGUG